rnacentral:tRNA from 2 species
GGCCCUAUCGUCUAAAGGUAGGAUAAGUGUUUUUCAGGCACAUGGUCAGGGUUCGAUUCCCUGUAGGGCUAC